rnacentral:rRNA from 1 species
CCUACGGGUGACAGCAGUAGGGAAUGUUGCGCAAUGGGCGAAAGCCUGACGCAGCAACGCCGCGUGAAAGAGACGCCCUUCGGGGUGUAAACCUCUUUUGUCGGGGAGCAAAGAGAGUCACGUGUGACUCAUUGAGAGUACCCGAAGAAAAAGCAUCGGCUAACUCCGUGCCAGCAGCCGCGGUAAUACGGAGGAUGCGAGCGUUAUCCGGAUUUAUUGGGUUAAAAGGGUGCGCAGGCGGAGGUGCAAGUCAGCGGUCAAAUUGCGGGGCUCAACCCCGUACUGCCGUUGAAACUGCAUCCCUUGAGUGCGCGAGAGGUAUGCGGAAUGCGUGGUGUAGCGGUGAAAUGCAUAGAUAUCACGCAGAACUCCGAUUGCGAAGGCAGCAUACCGGCGCGCAACUGACGCUCAUGCACGAAAGCGUGGGUAUCGAACAGGAUUAGAUACCCUUGUAGUC